rnacentral:rRNA from 1 species
GCUGUGGAACUCCUACGGGAGGCAGCAGUGGGGAAUUUUGGACAAUGGGCGGAAGCCUGAUCCAGCCAUGCCGCGUGUGUGAAGAAGGUCUUCGGAUUGUAAAGCACUUUAAGUUGGGAGGAAGGGCAUUAACCUAAUACGUUAGUGUCUUGACGUUACCGACAGAAUAAGCACCGGCUGGCUCUGUGCCAGCAGCCGCGGUAAUACAGAGGGUGCAAGCGUUAAUCGGAAUUACUGGGCGUAGAGCGCGCGUAGGUGGUUUGUUAAGUUGAAUGUGAAAUCCCCGGGCUCAACCUGGGAACUGCAUCUAAAACUGGCAAGCUAGAGUAUGGUAGAGGGUAGUGGAAUUUCCUGUGUAGCGGUGAAAUGCGUAGAUAUAGGAAGGAACACCAGUGGCGAAGGCGACUACCUGGACUGAUACUGACACUGAGGUGCGAAAGCGUGGGGAGCAAACAGGAUUAGAAACCCCAGUAGUCCUACCACGU